GAUUAUGGCUCAGGAUGAACGCUAGCUACAGGCUUAACACAUGCAAGUCGAGGGGCAGCAUGAUCAAAGCUUGCUUGAUUGAUGGCGACCGGCGCACGGGUGAGUAACGCGUAUCCAACCUUCCCUAUAGUAGUGGAUAGCCCGGCGAAAGUCGGAUUAAUACACUAUGUUGUAUUUAGAGGACAUCUGAAGAAUACCAAAGGCUUGCCGCUAUAGGAUGGGGAUGCGUCUGAUUAGAUAGUAGGCGGGGUAACGGCCCACCUAGUCGACGAUCAGUAGGGGUUCUGAGAGGAAGGUCCCCCACAUUGGAACUGAGACACGGUCCAAACUCCUACGGGAGGCAGCAGUGAGGAAUAUUGGUCAAUGGGCGAGAGCCUGAACCAGCCAAGUAGCCGUGCAGGAUGACGGCCCUAUGGGUUGUAAACUGCUUUUAUCGGGGGAUAAAGUCACCCACGUGUGGGUGUUUGUAGGUACCCGAUGAAUAAGGACCGGCUAAUUCCGUGCCAGCAGCUGC
rnacentral:rRNA from 1 species